rnacentral:rRNA from 1 species
CCUACGGGUGGCUGCAGUGGGGAAUAUUGGACAAUGGGGGGAACCCUGAUCCAGCCAUGCCGCGUGUGUGAAGAAGGCCCUCGGGUUGUAAAGCACUUUCAGUGAGGAAGAACGCCUGGUGGUUAAUACCCAUCAGGAAAGACAUCACUCACAGAAGAAGCACCGGCUAACUCCGUGCCAGCAGCCGCGGUAAUACGGAGGGUGCGAGCGUUAAUCGGAACUACUGGGCGUAAAGCGCGCGUAGGUGGCUUGAUAAGCCGGUUGUGAAAGCCCCGGGCUCAACCUGGGAACGGCAUCCGGAACUGUCAAGCUAGAGUGCAGGAGAGGAAGGUAGAAUUCCCGGUGUAGCGGUGAAAUGCGUAGAGAUCGGGAGGAAUACCAGUGGCGAAGGCGGCCUUCUGGACUGACACUGACACUGAGGUGCGAAAGCGUGGGUAGCAAACAGGAUUAGAUACCCCAGUAGUC